AUAGCGUAUAUUAAAGUUGUUGCAGUUAAAAAGCUCGUAGUUGAACCUUGGGCCUGGCUGGCCGGUCCGCCUCACCGCGUGCACUGGUCCGGCCGGGCCUUUCCUUCUGAGGAGCCGCAUGCCCUUCACUGGGUGUGUCGGGGAAUCAGGACUUUUACUUUGAAAAAAUUAGAGUGUUCAAAGCAGGCCUAUGCUCGAAUACAUUAGCAUGGAAUAAUAGAAUAGGACGUGUGGUUCUAUUUUGUUGGUUUCUAGAACCGCCGUAAUGAUUAAUAGGGAUAGUCGGGGGCAUCAGUAUUCAAUUGUCAGAGGUGAAAUUCUUGGAUUUAUUGAAGACUAACUACUG
rnacentral:rRNA from 1 species